rnacentral:rRNA from 1 species
GACGAACGCUGGCGGCGUGCUUAACACAUGCAAGUCGAACGGAAAGGCCCUGCUUUUGUGGGGUGCUCGAGUGGCGAACGGGUGAGUAACACGUGAGUAACCUGCCCUUGACUUUGGGAUAACUCCAGGAAACUGGGGCUAAUACCGGAUAGGAGCUCCUGCUGCAUGGUGGGGGUUGGAAAGUUUCGGCGGUUGGGGAUGGACUCGCGGCUUAUCAGCUUGUUGGUGGGGUAGUGGCUUACAAAGGCUUUGACGGGUAGCCCGCCUGAGAGGGUGACCGGCCACAUUGCGACUGAGAUACGGCGCAGACUGCUACGGGAGGCAGCAGUGGGGAAUAUUGCACAAUGGGCGGAAGCCUGAUGCAGCAACGCCGCGUGCGGGAUGACGGCCUUCGGGUUGUAAACCGCUUUCGCCUGUGACGAAGCGUGAGUGACGGUAAUGGGUCAAGAAGCACCGGCUAACUACGUG